rnacentral:piRNA from 1 species
UAACAGGUGACUGCCAAGGCCAAGGUACAA